UACGUAGGUGGCAAGCGUUAUCCGGAAUUAUUGGGCGUAAAGCGCGCGCAGGCGGUUUCUUAAGUCUGAUGUGAAAGCCCACGGCUCAACCGUGGAGGGUCAUUGGAAACUGGGGAACUUGAGUGCAGAAGAGAAAAGCGGAAUUCCACGUGUAGCGGUGAAAUGCGUAGAGAUGUGGAGGAACACCAGUGGCGAAGGCGGCUUCUUGGUCUGUAACUGACGCUGAGGCGCGAAAGCGUGGGGAGCAAACAGG
rnacentral:rRNA from 1 species